rnacentral:misc_RNA from 1 species
AUUUAUCAACUAAUCGUUCAUUAACAUUUACACUCUAGAAGACUAAAUUUUAUAUACCUAUCAUACAAAGAAUAUGUAUCCAAAAUUUCUAUUGAACUAAGCUUAGCUUUCUAUGGGACGUUUACCAUGAGGAUCUAAUCUUGGACUGGUACGAGUCGAUGUAGAUGCCGUAGCUGUAUUAGUGUUUGAGCUCGAAUCAAAUGUCCGAGAAUGGGAAUCUGAAUCACCGGAUGUUCCGGCAGAGGACAUUCCAGCAGUGGAUGACAUUCCAGCAGCAGAUGACAUUCCGGCAGCGGAGGACAUUCCUGGUGGCCUGCGAGAUCUUCUAUAUCUUGAACCGGGCAUUCCAGGUCUAGUUGGUUCUUCCAGAUUGCCAGGUUUCUUUGACAGCAUGAUGACUAUGCGUCGCAUAUUUGGCCGUAGCUGUGGAUCACCUUGUGUGCAUAGCAGCCCCAUAUGAAUGCACAUUUUUACUUGGUCAUUGACUGCUGAUGAUGCUAAUGUUGGAUCCAUCGCCUCCAAACUCCUGUCCCUUUUGUACAGCUUAUAUACCCAUUCAAGUAGAUUUUGUGCAUCAACUGAUUGAUUAAAUGUUGAAUUCCUCUGCCCACUGAUAAGCUCCAGAACCAAAACCCCAAAGCUAAAAACAUCUGCCUUCACUGACAAAUGCCCAUGCAUGACAUAUUCUGGAGCCAUAUAACCAUUUGUGCCUGCCACGCGGGUAUUGACAUGCGUUUGGUCUUCAGGGAAGAGACGAGCCAUACCAAAAUCAGCAAUCUUAGGAA